AUCUAUCUGUACAUUGUGAACACUACUGCCACGGAGACCGACUGACACCAUGGAGCAACGGGGGAGGCUGAUCCUGCAAAACAACCAAACCCCUGUGCGUGUGCCCAGACCUGGGGUCAGGGGGAUCAAGGUGCCUGGAGGCCCCUGAGGACCACGUUGGGCAGUGUUUGUUGGAGAGGGAUAUUCAGUUGCACUAGUUACCCCUGUCCUGCUGUAUGCACUAUUUAUGGUGAUCGACGUUAUUAUACCUUUGAUGGAUUGGAGUAUGACUAAGUCAGCGACUGGCAAGCUUACCUGCUCAAGGGCACAGAUAACUCAAAUAUAUCUGUAAUUUCUCAGAACAAAAAGUGCUUUGACAAUGAUAUUGUUUGCUCAAAGAAUAUUUUCAUCACAGUUGGAGACACUGAGAUUUAUUUUAGUGAACCUUCUGAGAAGCAGGGUAAACUAGCAGGUUUGUGUGGAAAUUUUGACAAAUAUACUUCAAAUGAUCUGAUUACAUCAAACAACAUGGAAGUGAGAAAUGCACAGGUAUUUGGAGACA